rnacentral:rRNA from 1 species
GACGAAGGAUGCAAGCGUUAUCCGGAUUCAUUGGGUUUAAAGGGUGCGUAGGCGGCCUUGUAAGUCAGUGGUGAAAUCUUCUCGCUUAACGAGAAAACUGCCAUUGAUACUGCUAGGCUUGAGUACAGAUGCUGUGGGCGGAAUAUGACAUGUAGUGGUGAAAUACAUAGAGAUGUCAUAGAACACCGAUUGCGAAGGCAGCUCACAAAACUGUAACUGACGCUGAGGCACGAAAGUGCGGGGAUCAAACAGG